AGCUUGCUCCCAUUUCUCAGCGGCGGACGGGUGAGUAACACGUGGGCAACCUGCCCUACAGACUGGGAUAACUCCGGGAAACCGGAGCUAAUACCGGGUAAUACAUAGCAUCGCAUGAUGCAACGUUGAAAGUUGGCCUUUGGCUAACACUGUAGGAUGGGCCCGCGGCGCAUUAGCUAGUUGGUAAGGUAACGGCUUACCAAGGCCACGAUGCGUAGCCGACCUGAGAGGGUGAUCGGCCACACUGGGACUGAGACACGGCCCAGACUCCUACGGGAGGCAGCAGUAGGGAAUCUUCCGCAAUGGACGAAAGUCUGACGGAGCAACGCCGCGUGAGUGACGAAGGCCUUCGGGUCGUAAAGCUCUGUUGUUAGGGAAGAACAAGUACCGUUCGAAUAGGGCGGUACCUUGACGGUACCUAACCAGAAAGCCACGGCUAACUACGUGCCAGCAGCCGCGGUAAUACGUAGGUGGCAAGCGUUGUCCGGAAUUAUUGGGCGUAAAGCGCGCGCAGGCGGUCUCUUAAGUCUGAUGUGAAAGCCCACGGCUCAACCGUGGAGGGCCAUUGGAAACUGGGGGACUUGAGUGCAGAAGAGGAGAGUGGAAUUCCACGUGUAGCGGUGAAAUGCGUAGAUAUGUGGAGGAACACCAGUGGCGAAGGCGGCUCUCUGGUCUGUAACUGACGCUGAGGCGCGAAAGCGUGGGGAGCGAACAGGAUUAGAUACCCUGGUAGUCCACGCCGUAAACGAUGAGUGCUAGGUGUUUGGGGGGUUCCACCCUCAGUGCUGAAGUUAACACAUUAAGCACUCCGCCUGGGGAGUACGACCGCAAGGUUGAAACUCAAAGGAAUUGACGGGGGCCCGCACAAGCAGUGGAGCAUGUGGUUUAAUUCGAAGCAA
rnacentral:rRNA from 1 species